rnacentral:rRNA from 1 species
AGAGUUUGAUCCUGGCUCAGGAUGAACGCUAGCGACAGGCUUAACACAUGCAAGUCGAGGGGCAGCAGGGGAGUAGCAAUACUCCCGCUGGCGACCGGCGCACGGGUGAGUAACACGUAUGCAACCUGCCCUUGUCAGGGGGAUAAGCGGAAGAAAUUCCGUCUAAUACCGCAUAAUGCUGCGGGGAGACAUCUCCCUGCAGCCAAAGAUUUAUCGGACAAGGAUGGGCAUGCGGCGCAUUAGCUGGUUGGCGGGGUAACGGCCCACCAAGGCGACGAUGCGUAGGGGUUCUGAGAGGAAGGUCCCCCACACUGGUACUGAGACACGGACCAGACUCCUACGGGAGGCAGCAGUGAGAAAUAUUGGUCAAUGGCCGGGAGGCUGAACCAGCCAAGUCGCGUGAGGGAAGACGGUCCUAUGGAUUGUAAACCUCUUUUGUCAGGGAGCAAAAACUGCCACGCGUGGCAGGAUGAGAGUACCUGAAGAAAAAGCAUCGGCUAACUCCGUGCCAGCAGCCGCGGUAAUACGGAGGAUGCGAGCGUUAUCCGGAUUUAUUGGGUUUAAAGGGUGCGUAGGCGGACAGUUAAGUCAGCGGUAAAAUUGAGAGGGCUCAACCUCUUCCCGCCGUUGAAACUGAUUGUCUUGAGUGGGCGAGAAGUAUGCGGAAUGCGUGGUGUAGCGGUGAAAUGCAUAGAUAUCACGCAGAACUCCGAUUGCGAAGGCAGCAUACCGGCGCCCAACUGACGCUGAAGCACGAAAGCGUGGGUAUCGAACAGGAUUAGAUACCCUGGUAGUCCACGCAGUAAACGAUGAAUACUAAUUGUUCGGGUCAAAUGAGAUCUGAGUGAUACAGCGAAAGCGUUAAGUAUUCCACCUGGGGAGUACGCCGGCAACGGUGAGACUCAAAGGAAUUGACGGGGGCCCGCACAAGCGGAGGAACAUGUGGUUUAAUUCGAUGAUACGCGAGGAACCUUACCCGGGCUCAAACGACACAGGAAUGAUCUGAGAAAUCAGGCAGUCCUCCGGGACCUGUGUCGAGGUGCUGCAUGGUUGUCGUCAGCUCGUGCCGUGAGGUGUCGGCUUAAGUGCCAUAACGAGCGCAACCCCCAUCGACAGUUGCCAGCAGGUGAAGCUGGGCACUCUGUCGAGACUGCCGGCGCAAGCUGUGAGGAAGGCGGGGAUGACGUCAAAUCAGCACGGCCCUUACGUCCGGGGCGACACACGUGUUACAAUGGCAGGUACAGCGGGAAGCCACCUGGCGACAGGGAGCGGAACCCGAAAGCCUGUCUCAGUUCGGAUUGGAGUCUGCAACUCGACUCCGUGAAGCUGGAUUCGCUAGUAAUCGCGCAUCAGCCACGGCGCGGUGAAUACGUAAGGCGGGCCUUGCACUCACCGCCCGUCAAG